rnacentral:rRNA from 1 species
CCUACGGGUGGCAGCAGUGGGGAAUAUUGGACAAUGGGCGAAAGCCUGAUCCAGCCAUGCCGCGUGUGUGAAGAAGGCCUUCGGGUUGUAAAGCACUUUCAGUGGGGAAGAAAGCCUUGGGGCUAAUACCCUCGAGGAAGGACAUCACCCACAGAAGAAGCACCGGCUAACUCCGUGCCAGCAGCCGCGGUAAUACGGAGGGUGCGAGCGUUAAUCGGAAUUACUGGGCGUAAAGCGCGCGUAGGCGGUCUGAUAAGCCGGUUGUGAAAGCCCCGGGCUCAACCUGGGAACGGCAUCCGGAACUGUCAGGCUAGAGUGCAGGAGAGGAAGGUAGAAUUCCCGGUGUAGCGGUGAAAUGCGUAGAGAUCGGGAGGAAUACCAGUGGCGAAGGCAGCCUUCUGGACUGACACUGACGCUGAGGUGCGAAAGCGUGGGUAGCAAACAGGAUUAGAUACCCGGGUAGUC